rnacentral:rRNA from 1 species
AGGUGACCUCGGAUCAGGUAGGGAUACCCGCUGAACUUAAGCAUAUCAAUAAGCGGAGGNAAAGAAACCAACAGGGAUUGCCUCAGUACGGCGAGUGAAGCGGCAAGAGCUCAAAUUUGAAAUCCGGCCCCCCUGGGGGCCUGAGUUGUAAUUUGCAGAGGAUGCUUCGGGCGCGACCGCGGUCCAAGUCCCCUGGAACGGGGCGUCGUAGAGGGUGAGAAUCCCGUCUCCGGCCGGCCGGUCUCGCCCGUGUGAAGCUCCUUCGACGAGUCGAGUUGUUUGGGAAUGCAGCUCCAAAUGGGUGGUAAAUUUCAUCUAAAGCUAAAUACUGGUCGGAGACCGAUAGCGCACAAGUAGAGUGAUCGAAAGAUGAAAAGCACUUUGAAAAGAGAGUUAAACAGCAUGUGAAAUUGUUGAAAGGGAAGCGCUUGCGACCAGAGUCGGCCGCGGGGGUUCAGCGGGCAUUCGUUGCCCGUGCAAUCCCCCGCGGCCGGGCCAGCGUCGGUUUCGACGGCCGGUCAAAGGCCCCCGGAAUGUGUCGCCUCUCGGGGCGUCUUAUAGCCGGGGGUGCAAUGCGGCCAGUCGGGACCGAGGAACGCGCUCCGGCACGGACGCUGGCUUAAUGGUCGUCAGCGACCCG